GGGCUCUUAGCUCAGCGGUAGAGCGGUCGGCUCAUAACCGAUUGGUCGCUGGUUCGAAUCCGGCAGAGCCCACCA
rnacentral:tRNA from 1 species